GACGAACGCUGGCGGCGUGCUUAACACAUGCGAGUCGAACGGACAGACAGAGAGCUUGCUCUCUUGAAGUUAGUGGCGAACGGGUGAGUAACGCGUAAUCAACCUGCCCUUCAGAGGGGGAUAACAACGGGAAACCGUUGCUAAUACCGCGUACGAUUCAUGAACGGCAUCGUUUAUGAAUGAAAGGUGGCCUCUAUGUAUAAGCUAUCGCUGAAGGAGGGGAUUGCGUCUGAUUAGCUAGUUGGAGGGGUAACGGCCCACCAAGGCAGUGAUCAGUAGCCGGUCUGAGAGGAUGAACGGCCACAUUGGGACUGAGACACGGCCCAAACUCCUACGGGAGGCAGCAGUGGGGAAUCUUCCGCAAUGGACGAAAGUCUGACGGAGCAACGCCGCGUGAGUGAUGAAGGUCUUCGGAUUGUAAAGCUCUGUUAAUCGGGACGAAAGAGUUCUGCGUGAAUAAUGCAGAAAAGUGACGGUACCGGAAUAGAAAGCCACGGCUAACUACGUGCCAGCCGCCGCGGUAA
rnacentral:rRNA from 1 species